AACCGGCGAUUUCCGAAUGGGGAAACCCAGUGUGUUUCGACACACUAUCAUUAACUGAAUCCAUAGGUUAAUGAGGCGAACCGGGGGAACUGAAACAUCUAAGUACCCCGAGGAAAAGAAAUCAACCGAGAUUCCCCCAGUAGCGGCGAGCGAACGGGGAGGAGCCCAGAGCCUGAAUCAGUGUGUGUGUUAGUGGAAGCGUCUGGAAAGGCGUGCGAUACAGGGUGACAGCCCCGUACACAAAAAUGCACAUAUUGUGAGCUCGAUGAGUAGGGCGGGACACGUGGUAUCCUGUCUGAAUAUGGGGGGACCAUCCUCCAAGGCUAAAUACUCCUGACUGACCGAUAGUGAACCAGUACCGUGAGGGAAAGGCGAAAAGAACCCCGGCGAGGGGAGUGAAAAAGAACCUGAAACCGUGUACGUACAAGCAGUGGGAGCCUCUUAAUGGGGUGACUGCGUACCUUUUGUAUAAUGGGUCAGCGACUUAUAUUCUGUAGCAAGGUUAACCGAAUAGGGGAGCCGAAGGGAAACCGAGUCUUAACUGGGCGUUAAGUUGCAGGGUAUAGACCCGAAACCCGGUGAUCUAGCCAUGGGCAGGUUGAAGGUUGGGUAACACUAACUGGAGGACCGAACCGACUAAUGUUGAAAAAUUAGCGGAUGACUUGUGGCUGGGGGUGAAAGGCCAAUCAAACCGGGAGAUAGCUGGUUCUCCCCGAAAGCUAUUUAGGUAGCGCCUCGUGAAUUCAUCUCCGGGGGUAGAGCACUGUUUCGGCAAGGGGGUCAUCCCGACUUACCAACCCGAUGCAAACUGCGAAUACCGGAGAAUGUUAUCACGGGAGACACACGGCGGGUGCUAACGUCCGUCGUGAAGAGGGAAACAACCCAGACCGCCAGCUAAGGUCCCAAAGUCAUGGUUAAGUGGGAAACGAUGUGGGAAGGCCCAGACAGCCAGGAUGUUGGCUUAGAAGCAGCCAUCAUUUAAAGAAAGCGUAAUAGCUCACUGGUCGAGUCGGCCUGCGCGGAAGAUGUAACGGGGCUAAACCAUGCACCGAAGCUGCGGCAGCGACACUAUGUGUUGUUGGGUAGGGGAGCGUUCUGUAAGCCUGUGAAGGUGGCCUGUGAGGGUUGCUGGAGGUAUCAGAAGUGCGAAUGCUGACAUAAGUAACGAUAAAGCGGGUGAAAAGCCCGCUCGCCGGAAGACCAAGGGUUCCUGUCCAACGUUAAUCGGGGCAGGGUGAGUCGACCCCUAAGGCGAGGCCGAAAGGCGUAGUCGAUGGGAAACAGGUUAAUAUUCCUGUACUUGGUGUUACUGCGAAGGGGGGACGGAGAAGGCUAUGUUGGCCGGGCGACGGUUGUCCCGGUUUAAGCGUGUAGGCUGGUUUUCCAGGCAAAUCCGGAAAACCAAGGCUGAGGCGUGAUGACGAGGCACUACGGUGCUGAAGUGACAAAUGCCCUGCUUCCAGGAAAAGCCUCUAAGCAUCAGGUAACAUCAAAUCGUACCCCAAACCGACACAGGUGGUCAGGUAGAGAAUACCAAGGCGCUUGAGAGAACUCGGGUGAAGGAACUAGGCAAAAUGGUGCCGUAACUUCGGGAGAAGGCACGCUGAUAUGUAGGUGAAGCGACUUGCUCGUGGAGCUGAAAUCAGUCGAAGAUACCAGCUGGCUGCAACUGUUUAUUAAAAACACAGCACUGUGCAAACACGAAAGUGGACGUAUACGGUGUGACGCCUGCCCGGUGCCGGAAGGUUAAUUGAUGGGGUUAGCGGUAACGCGAAGCUCUUGAUCGAAGCCCCGGUAAACGGCGGCCGUAACUAUAACGGUCCUAAGGUAGCGAAAUUCCUUGUCGGGUAAGUUCCGACCUGCACGAAUGGCGUAAUGAUGGCCAGGCUGUCUCCACCCGAGACUCAGUGAAAUUGAACUCGCUGUGAAGAUGCAGUGUACCCGCGGCAAGACGGAAAGACCCCGUGAACCUUUACUAUAGCUUGACACUGAACAUUGAGCCUUGAUGUGUAGGAUAGGUGGGAGGCUUUGAAGUGUGGACGCCAGUCUGCAUGGAGCCGACCUUGAAAUACCACCCUUUAAUGUUUGAUGUUCUAACGUUGGCCCGUAAUCCGGGUUGCGGACAGUGUCUGGUGGGUAGUUUGACUGGGGCGGUCUCCUCCUAAAGAGUAACGGAGGAGCACGAAGGUUGGCUAAUCCUGGUCGGACAUCAGGAGGUUAGUGCAAUGGCAUAAGCCAGCUUGACUGCGAGCGUGACGGCGCGAGCAGGUGCGAAAGCAGGUCAUAGUGAUCCGGUGGUUCUGAAUGGAAGGGCCAUCGCUCAACGGAUAAAAGGUACUCCGGGGAUAACAGGCUGAUACCGCCCAAGAGUUCAUAUCGACGGCGGUGUUUGGCACCUCGAUGUCGGCUCAUCACAUCCUGGGGCUGAAGUAGGUCCCAAGGGUAUGGCUGUUCGCCAUUUAAAGUGGUACGCGAGCUGGGUUUAGAACGUCGUGAGACAGUUCGGUCCCUAUCUGCCGUGGGCGCUGGAGAACUGAGGGGGGCUGCUCCUAGUACGAGAGGACCGGAGUGGACGCAUCACUGGUGUUCGGGUUGUCAUGCCAAUGGCACUGCCCGGUAGCUAAAUGCGGAAGAGAUAAGUGCUGAAAGCAUCUAAGCACGAAACUUGCCCCGAGAUG
rnacentral:rRNA from 1 species